UACGUAGGGAGCAAGCGUUGUCCGGAAUCAUUGGGCGUAAAGCGCGCGUAGGUGGCCCCAUAAGUCCGCUGUGAAAGUCAAAGGCUCAACCUUUGAAAGCCGGUGGAUACUGUGGGACUAGAGUACGGAAGAGGCGAGUGGAAUCCCUGGUGUAGCGGUGGAAUGCGCAGAUAUCAGGAGGAACACCAAUAGCGAAGGCAGCUCGCUGGGACGUUACUGACACUGAGGCGCGAAAGCGUGGGGAGCGAACAGG
rnacentral:rRNA from 1 species